AACUGAAAUCAAACCAUCUAUUAAUUUAGAAUUAGAAAACGAACGGGUAACUCACGUGAGAGACCACAUGAGAAUAAAAAUUAGCGAACGUCCAGGGAGAGAGAAAGCUAGCUUUAGAGAGAGACGAUCAAACAAGAAUUCCAGAACCACCAUCGUCAACCUUCUCUCCUGUGCUGGAGUCUUUGUCCCUCAGUCGUCUUGCCAUUGGGUUUUACGAUGGGAAGGAAACAAUGGAAAUGAAAGUUUCUUCUUCCAAUUAUUUGAAGUUGAUAAUGUUGCCAUUCCUAAACAAGAGAUCUAUUAUUAUUUUUCUUUGUCCUUUUUUUUCCUUCUUAAUUUAAACCAAAAAAAAAAAGUUAGCUGAGUACCUCAUGCAGUGCCAUGCUAUCCCUAUUAAAGUUUGCAAUGCAGUGGAUAAGCUGAUUAGGGACUUCCUUUACGGAUCAAU